rnacentral:rRNA from 1 species
UUCCGGUUGAUCCUGCCGGAGGCCAUUGCUAUCGGAGUCCGAUUUAGCCAUGCUAGUCGAGCGAGGUUAGCCCUCGCGGCGAACAGCUCAGUAACACGUGGCCAAGCUACCCUGCAGAGGGGGACAGCGUCGGGAAACUGACGGGAAUCCCCCAUACCGGUCUCACGCUGGAAUGCCGAGACCGACAAACGCUCCGGCGCUGCAGGAUGCGGCUGCGGCCGAUUAGGUAGUCGGUGGGGUAACGGCCCACCGAGCCGAUAAUUGGUACGGGGUGUGAGAGCACGAGCCCGGAGACGGAAUCUGAGACAAGAUUCCGGGCCCUACGGGGCGCAGCAGGCGCGAAACCUUUACACUGCACGAACGUGCGAUAAGGGGACUCCGAGUGCGAGGGCAUACAGUCCUCGCUAUUGUGUACCGUAGGGUGGUACACGACCAAGAGCUGGGCAAGACCGGUGCCAGCCGCCGCGGUAAUACCGGCAGCUCGAGUGAUGGCCGAUUUUAUUGGGCCUAAAGCGUCCGUAGCUGGCCCUGCAAGUCCGUCGGGAAAUCCACUCGCCUAACGAGUGGGCGUCCGGCGGAAACUCCAGGGCUUGGGACCGGAAGACUUGAGGGGUACGUCUGGGGUAGGAGUGAAAUCCUGUAAUCCUGGACGGACCGCCGAUAGCGAAAGCACCUCAAGACGACGGAUCCGACAGUGAGGGACGAAAGCUAGGGUCUCGAACCGGAUUAGAUACCCGGGUAGUCCUAGCUGUAAACGAUGUUCGCUAGAUGUGGCACAGGCUACGUGCCUGUGCUGUGUCGUAGGGAAGCCGAGAAGCGAACCGCCUGGGAAGUACGUCCGCAAGGAUGAAACUUAAAGG